GUGGGGAAUCUUGCGCAAUGGGCGAAAGCCUGACGCAGCCAUGCCGCGUGAAUGAUGAAGGUCUUAGGAUUGUAAAAUUCUUUCACCGGGGACGAUAAUGACGGUACCCGGAGAAGAAGCUCCGGCUAACUUCGUGCCAGCAGCCGCGGUAAUACGAAGGGGGCUAGCGUUGCUCGGAAUUACUGGGCGUAAAGGGCGCGUAGGCGGACAGCUUAGUCAGAGGUGAAAGCCCAGGGCUCAACCUUGGAAUUGCCUUUGAGACUGGCUGUCUUGAGUUUGGGAGAGGUGAGUGGAACUCCGAGUGUAGAGGUGAAAUUCGUAGAUAUUCGGAAGAACACCAGUGGCGAAGGCGACUCACUGGCCCAAGACUGACGCUGAGGCGCGAAAGCGUGGGGAGCAAACAGGAUUAGAUACCCGAGUAGUCC
rnacentral:rRNA from 1 species